CGACGAUGGGGUGGAAGGGGAUAGCCGACGCCUGCUCUCCCCUCGGCAGGUUGACCUCGACGACGCGGAGUGGUGUGGACGGCGGACUGCUUUCCUCGCGGACGGAUCUGGAGCACCCAAACUCGGGAUGGCUGGAUCCGCGACCUUCGAGUUCAGGGUGUCCGGAUCUAGAGCCCCCGGGUUCAUGGUUGCUGGGGCUGUCAAGGGGAGGCCAGGUGGGGAUGCAGAAGCUCGUCGUCGACUGGAGAUAAGCAGCGAUGGAUGGCGGGGCUUGUCGAUGGCGUUGGGCAGUGGCGUUGUCUUCAUCUUUG
rnacentral:misc_RNA from 1 species